CCGCCGUUUCCCCUACAGAGUCUCCUCGCCGUGCCAGGAGGAGUGUAGAGAUGCAGCCCAUCUCCUGUAAUCUGUCAGGAGAAAUCAGACUCACGGAGGACGCUGAGCUCACUCAAUCACCGACUGCCUUCAGCCCUGCAGGAUACGACUGCUUCAGAUCUGUCACGAGCUCAUCUGUUCGAAUAUGUUGCAAGUGGAGAACAGUAGAAGAAGGGAAAUGACGUCCGGACAUCGUAUGCGGUCCGUUUCUCUCUCACUAGCUGGGAGGGAGUUGCUUGUUUUUGCUUCCUUUGCUGUCCGGAUAGUGCCUGGUUUCUGACCUUAGCUCCGAUUUGGCAGCUCUUGGGGUUCCCCUGUACGACGCCCGGAAUUACAAUGUGCUAGACAACAGUGGAGCAGAAGAACCAAGCUGAGAUGCAGCAUCGAGCUUCAUUAGAGUCGAUCUUGAAUUUGUAUUGGCAGCAAGAAGAUGGAG
ensembl:lncRNA